rnacentral:lncRNA from 1 species
GUGGCCCCUUGCAUCAUCGCCCCAUUGUCUUGCACAUUUAGGGAAGUUCUCUCACCACUUAUUUCAUUCAUUGGGAUUUAUUGCACUACGUUGAGGUCAAUGAAUGGAUUAAGUUGGGAGGGGGGAGUUGAAUUGAUAUAUGAUCAUUGCUUGUGGUAAAAUGUGUUGUCCUCUUGCUUGUCUUUAUACGUGAGUUGUAUUUUUCCUUAUUGCAU